rnacentral:lncRNA from 1 species
UAGAAUAUACAUCGCACGCGAUUUUAAUCGUGGACAUUUUGAAUUCCCUGUUAAUUAAUGCGUCGACUUGGGCUUCUGGUACAAAUUAAAACGUGGAAUUAUUCAUCCAAACUCACUAAAAGAUUCUUGAGAUUCAAAUUUCCACAGAAUUAUAAAAUUAAUCAACAAUAAAAAUUUAAACAUUUCGAACAUUUAACAUUUUAAUAAAAUAAAAAAAAAUACACUAACCCUUUGCAGUUCAACUUUUAAUCUGGGGUUCCGGAAAACUUUUAAAAUAUCUCUUGCAGGCAUAUGCAGAAC